UACAGAGGUCUCAAGCGUUGUUCGGAUUCAUUGGGCGUAAAGGGUGCGUAGGCGGCGCGGUAGUCAGGUGUGAAAUCUCGGAGCUUAACUCCGAAACUGCAUUCGAUACUGCCGUGCUUUGAGGACUGGAGAGGAGACGUGGAAUUUACGGUGUAGCGGUGAAAUGCGUAGAUAUCGUAAGGAAGACCAGUGGCGAAGGCGGG
rnacentral:rRNA from 1 species